rnacentral:rRNA from 1 species
UACAGAGGUCUCAAGCGUUGUUCGGAUUCAUUGGGCGUAAAGGGUGCGUAGGCGGCGCCGUAAGUCGGGUGUGAAAUUCGAUCGGGCUUAACUUCCGAAAGCAUCGUCGAUUCCAGUUACGAACUUGACCCUGGUCCGGUGCCUUUUGGAAGGGGAACCUUGGGGAAGGAAGGGGAAGGAACCUUGGGAAAAUUUUUAACCGGGGUUGUUAAGGCCGGGGUUGGAAAAAAUUGGCCGGUUAAGGAAUUAAUUCCGGUUAAAAGGGGAAAAGGAACCCCAAGGUUGGGGCCGGAAAAGGGGCCGGGGGGUUCCUUCCGUUGGGGAACCAAGGUUUUCCCCUUGGAACCGGGCCUUGGAAGGGCCAACCGGAAAAGGGGCCCCAAGGGGGGGAAGGCCAAAAAACCGGGGGGAAUUUUAAGGAAAACCCCGGUUAACCCCGUACCGUAAGGAUCCCCAAAGGAUCCCAAGUUCCUUCGUCUGACCCUGAUCCGAAUUAACACCUCGAACCCGUGACCCCAUUGACCCGAAUGAAGGGCUAGGAAGGGCUGAA